CCGUUUAAAACUGGUUGCAUCCUUUUUUAUCCUAGUUUUAGUGGUACAAAUCAACCAGGUUUAAGGAAUAAAUGGAUUGAUCAAGUAAACCAAUUGUUAAGGUGAUUAUUAUUGUUAAUCCUCCAGAUGUGGUUAAGGUGGUCACGGAUUUCCUAAUUGAUUCAUAGCUUAUUCACAAAGGACAACUGUGGCAUAGAUGGAUGAUCAUUGGUGUUCCUUUGUGUUGCAAUUACUGAAUACACUGGCACACACCAAUUUAUCCAGCACAAGCAUCAUACUAUCCACCACCUCCACCGCCUGGAUAUGAAGUAUAAUUCAAUGAAGGUGGUCCACCUCAACAUCCCAUACAAGCAGGUUUUGGAUCAUGAUGAUUCAGGUUGCUGCUUGUUUAUAAAAGGAUGACGAUUUCCUACUCACGAUAUACUUUGUUGUUGUGGCGCGUUGGAUUGUUCGCUAUAUGACGAGUUUUGAUUUUUUUGCAUGAGCUCCAUAUUCAAAUCUUAAUUAUUUAAUGUCUGUAGUAUGUCAAAUGAACAACACUAUGUUCGCUUUUAGUUCCGAUUACUUUUCACUUUUAUAUACGUCUAGAAAUGUUGAUUAGAUUAGUUUGUCGUGCAGUCUUAAGCACAUUAAUUUUCCCUGGUCGGAAAUUUCCAAUUUCAUGUGAAAUAAUCGCUAAUGUACUGAAUAAAUAAAAAGGGUAUUUUAGAUAGUUA